UUUCUCUAAACAUGUUUGAGCCU
rnacentral:snRNA from 1 species